rnacentral:rRNA from 1 species
AACGAACGCUGGCGGCAGGCCUAACACAUGCAAGUCGAGCGAGAUCUUCGGGUCUAGCGGCGGACGGGUGAGUAACGCGUGGGAAUAUGCCUCUUGGUACGGAAUAGCCUCGGGAAACUGGGAGUAAUACCGUAUGUGCCCUUUGGGGGAAAGAUUUAUCGCCAAGAGAUUAGCCCGCGUUGGAUUAGGUAGUUGGUGGGGUAAUGGCCUACCAAGCCGACGAUCCAUAGCUGGUUUGAGAGGAUGAUCAGCCACACUGGGACUGAGACACGGCCCAGACUCCUACGGGAGGCAGCAGUGGGGAAUCUUAGACAAUGGGCGCAACCCUGAUCUAGCCAUGCCGCGUGAGUGAUGAAGGCCUUAGGGUUGUAAAGCUCUUUCAGCUGGGAAGAUAAUGACGGUACCAGCAGAAGAAGCCCCGGCUAACUCCGUG